rnacentral:tRNA from 2 species
UAAACGAGGCGCUCUACCGCUGAGCUAUAGCCCU